rnacentral:rRNA from 1 species
AUGGUACACCAAGGACUUAAUCCGUCAAGCCUGCAGAAACAAAACCAAGACCGGAAUAACAACAUCAGUCCAGCUUAUCCGCUGGAACAUGGUUUCCUUCAACUAUUACUUGCAAUUAUGAUAUCCUGUAAGGAUACAAAACAUCUUAAUAAGAUUGAUAGAACACAGAGAUAUGAAUUAUACAUAUCCAGAACAUGUACCCUAUCGUUUGGAAUUGUGAGUGUACCACAAACUGCAGCGUUCGGCGGCAAGGGAUAUGUUCGUCAUGGAACGGCGGGAUCUAGGAAGAUGGAGGCCCUGGGGAUGGAGCGGUGA